UGGGAAGGCCAUGACAACCAGGAGGUUGGCUUAGAAGCAGCCAUCCUUUAAAGAAAGCGUAACAGCUCACUGGUCUAAAUAAGCCGUCCUGCGCCGAAGAUGUAUCGGGGCUAAAGUCGUGUACCGAAGCUGUGGAUUUGAUCUUCGGAUCAAGUGGUAGCGGAGCGUUCCGUAAGCCUGCGAAGGUGACUCGCGAGAGUUGCUGGAGGUAUCGGAAGUGAGAAUGCUGACAUGAGUAGCGACAAACAGGGUGAGAGACCCUGUCGCCGAAAGACCAAGGGUUCCUGCGUAAAGCUAAUCUGCGCAGGGUUAGCCGGCCCCUAAGGCGAGGCCGAAAGGCGUAGCCGAUGGGAACCACGU
rnacentral:rRNA from 1 species